UUUUAGCCCUGAUUGAAGUGUAAAUCCCGUAAAGUUUGAAGCUAGAAAAACACAAGCCACAAAGCGACUUAAUGAAGCUCUUGUGGCGUAGAUGUUUUAGUUGCUGAAUACUGCGGAAUUGAAACGGAAAGCAGGUUCUCGG
rnacentral:sRNA from 1 species